rnacentral:misc_RNA from 1 species
GAUGAAGAACGUAGCGAAAUGCGAUAAGUAAUGUGAAUUGCAGAAUUCAGUGAAUCAUCGAAUCUUUGAACGCACCUUGCGCCCUUUGGCCAUUCCGAAGGGCAUGCCUGUUUGAGUAUCAUGAACACCUCAACUCUCAUGGCUCGCCGUGAUGAGCUUGGACUUUGGGGGUCUUGCUGGCCUGUGGUCGGCUCCUCUCAAAUGGAUCAGCUUGCCAGUGUUUGGUGGCAUCACAGGUGUGAUAACUAUCUGCGCUUGUGGUUUUCCAUCAGAUAACCUUCAGUGAUGGAGGUUCGCUGGAGCUCAUAAACGUCUCCCCUAAGCGGGGACAGCCCUUUGAAUGUUUGAUCUCAAAUCAGGUAGGACUACCCGCUGAACUUAAGCAUAUCAAUAAGCGGAGGA